UCUACGGGUGGCAGCAGUGAGGAAUAUUGGUCAAUGGCCGGAAGGCUGAACCAGCCAUGCCGCGUGAAGGUCAGUGCCCUAUGGGCGUUAAACUUCUUUUGUGCGGGAGCAAUAAUGGUCACGUGUGGCCAGACGAGAGUACCGUACGAAUAAGCAUCGGCUAACUCCGUGCCAGCAGCCGCGGUUAAACGGGGGGUGCAAGCGUUAUCCGGAUUUAUUGGGGUUAAAGGGUGCGUAGGGUGUGAGGUAAGUCAGCGGUGAAAUGCCCCCGCUUAACGGGGUGAAGUGCGAUUGAUACUGCCUUGCUGGAGUGCGGAUGCGGUGGGAGGAAUGUGUGGUGUAGCGGUGAAAUGCAUAGAGAUCACACAGAACACCGAUUGCGAAGGC
rnacentral:rRNA from 1 species